AAUACUCGCAUUGUAGAGCGCUGGAUACCUUUUACAGAAUGGUCUGAGUUGUUAUGAUACGCCAUUUAAACCCACAAGGUUACUAUGAACAUUGGGGCGAGGAGAGUAAUAGUUUACUCCAGCAGACGAUGGAGGUGGAGAGAAUAGAUUACGACAUUGGAGGGGUGCUACUUCACAGCCUGAGUGAGGGACACAGGAUCUGGUGGGUAAGCAUGGGACUAGUCCCAAAUAGCACCCUGUUCUCUAUGUAGUGCCCUACUGUUGACCAGUGCCCAUAGGGAUAUGGGACUCUACUCAAAAGUAGUGCACUUUAUAGGGAACAUUUUGUAAUUUGAGAUGCAGACAUGGGCUCAAGCAUAAUUUGGAAAAAAUAGAGGUCAGUGAACAGUAAUAAGGGCCAGUUUCCCAGACACAGAUUAAGCCUAGUCCUGGACUAAACAACACAGUCAAUGGAGAAUAUCCAUUGAAAUAGCUUUGUAGUCCAAGACUGAACGUAUUAUCUGGGUCUGGGAAACUGGCCCUGAUGGUGUGUGGUCGCGAUCUUCAGAGAAAUGUCCAUUAUGCUGAUAGGAAACGUCUAGUCACCUAGGCAGCAUAACAUAAUUGGCGAUGAUGAGUUUGCUGACUGUUUGUGCUGUCAUUGUUCCAGGGCUCAGUUCCAAGCUGUGUGAGGAGAUCCGUGACAAGUUUCGGUCACAUUUUGACUGGAUCAGUGGCGCCGCACCAAAGUGCAGAGAAUCCCGUUCAACACUACAGCACACUGCUGAGUUUAGCCUCACUGCAAAGGUAUGUGUUUGUCUUAUUUGAGUCAAAAGUAGCCUUCGUUGCCCAAUAAUACUAAACCCAGAAGGAAUACCAAAUGUCUAGUUUUGAGUCAGACCUGGGCCUGUAUUCAUAAAGCUUUAGUAGGACUGCUGAUCUAGGAUCAGGUCCUCCCUGUCCAUAAUAAUCUGAUUCAACAUCAAAUUAUAUUUUAUUGGUUGCAUACACAUAUUUAGUAGAUGUUAUUGCGGGUGUAGGUAAAUGCUUGUGUUCCUAGCUCCCAGCAGUUCAGUAAUAUCUAGCUGUAAAGACAUUAAGGACAGUAUGUGGAUAUAAUAUUUAGUACAUCUAGAAUACGUAGGGUAGAAUAGUGACUAUGAUAUAAAAGGCAAAACUGAUCCUAGAUCAGCACUCUGAGAAGUUUGAUGAAUACGGGCCCUGGUCCUCGCCUGCCUUCAGGUCUGCUGACAAUGUGCUCCUGUUUCAUAAUGACCAGGCCCUAACCCUGAGCCCAGGCCCUACAGAGGGCGCUCAUGAGCACAUCAUCCUCUCUCUCUCUGUUGUUCCACCAGCAGCAGAAUCCCUCUGUGAUGAAUACACACAUCACCUCACGCAUGGCUGGACUACUGCUGCCUGUCCACAGCCUCACCACAGUCAGUGUAAAUAGCUGAUGUUGGUGGUUUCUCCAGUGGCCUGAGUUGAGGUGUGGAGCCCUUGGAACUGAUUAGCGAGAAGACUCGCUGGGAAUCCUUGGCCAGCUGCACCCUCCAGCCUGUUCCACAGCUUUCCCCCACAGGGAAAUCUUAUAGUAGCCUGACAGUGUUGGCUGUGGCUAGAUGCAACAAGGACGGCUCUUUCCUCAGGUCCAAUGCACUUCAGAAGUUG